rnacentral:sRNA from 1 species
GAUGUGUGUGGGGUUCGGAGCCGCGCCGGCACAGCCGAAGGGAGCGGGCGAGCGGCGACGGCGGCGGCGGGCACAGAUUAAUUAAAAGAAGAAUGAACUAUAAUCCUUGAAGAUAACUGGGCAGUUUUUUAAGUCGGAGGCUGUUCUUACUGGUGUGAGGAUUUACACACGUCUUCAGUUUUUCAGCACAGACCAGCAGACCAUCAUUUUUAGAGGAAAUACUCCCUCUGCCCUCCUUUUUGGUUUCCUUGGUGGUAAAGAUUAAAUUUGGUUGCAUCAUUUUGACUUGUGUUUGAGUCUAGAUUUUAUGGCACAAGGAAUGGCAUAAACUUUUCAUGUGUUUUGGUUAAAACAAACCAGACCAUUGCAUUGACCCUGGACAUCUUUAACUGAGAAAUUGGUAACUUUAUUUUAAUAUGUAUAUCUGAAGAAUUCAAGAAAACAAAGGCAUCCUCAGAGGUGUGCCUUUUUUCUUUAUUAUUAGAGGCAAAACGAACAAUUUUAUAGGAUUUGUAGUGAAAUUAUACCAGAUUAUAAGGAGAACCAAAACUAAGUCGCAAAAUUUAUUAAUUUAAGGGGCUCUCGCUUUGA